GAGCACAAACAGGGACCCUUCAGGCUCACAAAGUUAAAUUUUUAUUUAUUUUUUUUUUUUUCAGAAACCAAAGUGAAGGGGUGGACAUAUGGAUGCUUUGGAUACUGUCUAAUACAGCAUCAAGAUAGAGCUGAAGCUUACACCCAGCCCUGGUUAACUAACUUUAUGGUUCUCAUGACAUGAAUCAAAAAAUAGCUUUAAGAUAGCUGCAUGGAUACUCCUCUUACUAAUUGUUUUCUAUGAUCAAUAAAAACAUAGAGAUGUUGCAACCCAAGUACCCAAGUGAAGACAAAGCUCCAUCUGAGGAUGCCUUGGGUUCCAGAAGGUUCAGGUUCACAGCAUGAGCUUGGAGACUGGCUGUUGAGAAAAUACUGGCUGGUGAAAUAUUCUUCUCUCAAGAGGCUUGGUCGAUCGUCUCCCUUUUCCCUCAUCUGCUGGUAUAUCACACUGGAAAAGCAUCUCCUCUCUGCUGGAAAAACCUCUGACUACCUUGUAUUCUAGGACAGAAAGCCCCAAAUGGCAUCAAACUGGUCAGCUCCAGCUCGGUAUUCCCAGCCAGAUGUUCCUCAGGGGGCCAGGGGGUGUCCCCACAACAGCUGGGGACCGUAAGGCACCUGCACGGAAGCUGCAGGGCCUCUCCCAGUGACCCCAGCUGCAGGAGCACUGCUGUUUGCUGGGGCUCUGGAAUGUUCCUCACCCAGCUGUGCUCCGCUGGACGCUUCCCAGUGGACUGGAAGAGGAGUGCUGACAGCAUGGUGACACUAACCUUGGCCAGCUGACAACCCAAAGUUGCCUCCACACACCCUGGAUUGGACCCAUUGUCCUUCCUUUGACCCUCAGCUCCUUCCUCUGGCUCUGAGUAAUGUGUGUAAGCAAUCCCAGCCAUUCCAAUAUAUUUUUUGCCUAGUUUUCUUCUAGUAGAGAAGAUAUUCCUCUUUCACUGCUCAUUGUCAGAUUUGUCUUCUAAAGAAGCAGACACAUCUGGUGGGGAGUUGGUGAGCCUGAGCUCAUGCACUGGGAAAGGUUCAUGGAAUAUUCAAUACUUCUCAGGUAACUUGGGACAGAAACCUCCUCACACCUGGAGGAUUCCCUUUCCAGCAUCUGAACAAAACACACCUGCUGAAGAGCAGGUUCCUACGCUGGAUCCACAAACCCGACACGCCUGGGGCUUGUCCUCUUGUAUAAUACAAAAGAAAAGGCAGAAAAAUUCUUUAGUGAGCACUGAAUUCCCCAGGAGAAUAUGGCUGAACUUGUCUGCAAGCAAGUCACUGCUGUUUGCAUACUCUGCCUCAGAUUCACCCUCCCCAGUCCAUCUAAAGCUGCCUGGCCCAGGGAAGGAUGCGGUUUGUCAGAAUUGCGGCACCUGGGCAAGGAAGAGCUUUGUGCACAGAGGUCUGGGGCUGGCUUUAGGGAUUUGCAUCCCUGAUAUUAUCACUUCCAGUCCAAACCAUUCCAUGAUACAUAACUGCACAUUAAUGAGCUCCACAGCAUAAGAGGUAACACAAAACCCUUUGGUGGACACCGAGUUUUAAGCUUACCUUAUGGUGUGCAAGAGGAGAGGAUUUUUCUUUAUUUCUUUUUUUCUUUUUCUUUCUUGUUGCAGCAUUCAAAUGUUAUCACACACACACGGAUCCCCUCGGUUUCUGAAGGGACAGGUGCUUUUCCAAGCAGCACGAAAAGUAAAACCGUGAAUGAUGCUGAGUUUAGUCAUGAGGAACACAGAACUGAGGAAAAAAAGCUUUGGGAAGGGGAUUAGUUUUUUUGUGCAAACCACUGAGCAAGGAAAUACACGUCUAGAUGGAAAUGUAUUUCUGUUGGCGGCACUUAAUGAUCCAGAGGUCUCAGAUGAAGAGAAUAUAAGGCCUGGAAAGUAACCAGACUUCUAGCCCCUACAAAUAAAGGAUGUUAAUUUAUUAAUAGCA
rnacentral:lncRNA from 1 species